GGCUGAGGCAUGAAGAGUACAAAUGGAAGGACAGCCUCAGCAAUUUAGUUAGUGAGACCCUGUCUCAAAAUAAAAAGAGCUGGGGAUGUAGCUGAGUGGUAGAGCACUCUUGGGUUCAAUCCCCAGAACCCCUCCCUCAAAUUUAACAAUAAGAAAACUAAACCUGAUGUUAAAAAUGGGCAAAAGAUUUGAACAGACAUCGAAGAAGAUACACAGAUGGCAAAUAAGCAUACGAAACGAUGUCCUACAUCAUAUGUUAAAAGAAUUGCAAGUUGAAACAAGAAGAUAACCACUAAACAUCUCUUGAAAUGGUGAAAAUCCAAAACACUGACAAUCUCAAAUGCUGAAAAGGAUAUAGAGCAAGAGGAACUCAUUGCCAUUAGGAAUGAAAUUAUAAUAUGCAGCCACUUUGGAAGAGAGUUGGGCAGUUUCUUACAAAGCUGGGCUGGGGAUGUGGCUCAGUGAAAGUCCUGGAUUCCGUGCCCAGCACAUAUAUAAGCAAUAUAUAAUUGUACUACACAAUUCAACAGUCGUGCUCAUAGAUCUUCAUCCAAAUGAAAACAAUUUCCACACAGAAACCUGCACAUGUAUAUUUACAGCAGCUUUAUUCAUGAAUGCUCAAAACAGGAAGCAACCAGGAUAUACUUCAAAUUGAAAAAAAAAUCCAUACCAAUAAUGGAAUAUUAUUCAGUGAUAAAAAGAGAUGAGCUAUGAAGCAAGGAAAAGACAUGAGAACCCCUAAAUGCAGAUUGCUGGGUAAAAGGCCGAAAAAUCUACCUACUAUCUGAUUCCAAAUAGAUGACAUUUGGGAAAACAGGACUACAGACAGUAAAGAAUCAGUGGUUGCCAGUGGUUCAGGGAACAGGGAGGGUAUCACAAGCUGGAGCACAUGCAGUUUUAGGGCUGUUAAAUUUGUCUGGUACUAAAAUGGUGGUUACCCAACA
rnacentral:lncRNA from 1 species